rnacentral:rRNA from 1 species
GACGAACGCUGGCGGCGUGCUUAACACAUGCAAGUCGAACGGAAAGGCCCUGCUUUUGUGGGGUGCUCGAGUGGCGAACGGGUGAGUAACACGUGAGUAACCUGCCCUUGACUUUGGGAUAACUUCAGGAAACUGGGGCUAAUACCGGAUAGGAGCUCCUGCUGCAUGGCGGGGGUUGGAAAGUUUCGGCGGUUGGGGAUGGACUCGCGGCUUAUCAGCUUGUUGGUGGGGUAGUGGCUUACCAAGGCUUUGACGGGUAGCCGGCCUGAGAGGGUGACCGGCCACAUUGGGACUGAGAUACGGCCCAGACUCCUACGGGAGGCAGCAGUGGGGAAUAUUGCACAAUGGGCGGAAGCCUGAUGCAGCAACGCCGCGUGCGGGAUGACGGCCUUCGGGUUGUAAACCGCUUUCGCUUGUGACGAAGCGUGAGUGACGGUAAUGGGUAAAGAAGCACCGGCUAACUACGUG